AAACCUAGCAUUUUCCACAAUAAAAUUCUUACAAUAGCUUUAUUCAAAUUUUCAAAAUUAUUCAUUCUCCUUAAAUUAUCUGAUUAUAGGUCCCGAAAAUCGUAAUUUAGACCGAUUUACGAUCUUAUAUGAUGUGGGACACCCUGUAUUUAAUCCUGUAUCUGAAAUGGACCACCCAGUACUAGUAUGUUUUAUGUGUUCACUAUAUUAUAAGUUAUUGACUCUGUACCAAGUAUUUCUUGAUCUUAUUAUAUUUUAAUGUUUAACCCUGUAAAGAUUGAAGAGGAAAAAGAGGAAAAAAUCAAAACAAAGAGAAACAUCUGCGUCAUCUACAGAACGCAAGAACAAGAUUAAGAUAAAAAGUAAGACAAAGAAGAAGAAGAAAUGGAAAAAGAAGAAGAAUUGUGAAGAGAAAGCGGAAAGUAUUCUAAACAUAGAAACUCAGACAAAACUCUCUCAACAAGCAGAAAAUCCAUUUCAGUUGGAGGAGUAUGUUAAUUCAGAAUGGUCUGAAGAAGAAGGAGAGGAUGAGGCAACAAAACUAAUUACAAAACAAAUAACUUUCAAAACGACAAGGAGGAGGAGAAAGUGCAGGAAGAGUGUAAAACUACAAACAGAUCAAACUAUUGCAGAGAAGGACAUAAAACAAAAAAUACUAAAGAUUGCGGAUCCGAACACUGCCCCCUCGGAUCCAGAUUCCGGGUUCUAUCCGGUACCGCCAGGGAUGGAUAAAAGAAGAUGUUUCUUUCAAAAGAAUGCUAAACCUUUACAAUGUUCUAUUUGUCAAAACG